UCCUGUCCAUUCCCUUUCUGUCAUUACGUUACUUAAUCUUCCCCUUCUCAUUCUAAGUUAUCAUUUUUCUUCAUUCUUAAAGCCUUUCUCGUUCUUCUCAUUCUCUUCCUGUCAUUACGUUACUUAAUCUUCCGCUUCUCAUUCUAAGUUAUCAUUUUUCUUCAUUCUUAAAGCCUUUCUCGUUCUUCUCAUUCUCUUCCUGUCAUUACGUUACUUAAUCUUCCGCUUCUCAUUCUAAGUUAUCAUUUUUCUUCAUUCUUAAAGCCUUUCUCGUUCCGCAUUCUUCUCGUUCUCUUCCUGUCCAUUCCCUUCCCUUCCUGUCACAUCCAUCUUCCCUUUCUCAUUCCUCGUAACUCUUCCUACUUCCCCGAGUCUUCUCACGCGUUCAUUCAACCUCCCUUCCUCCUCCUCCUCCUCCUUCUUCUCUUCCUCUGUGCCUCAUUACAUUCAUUCUCCUCCUCUUCCUUCCUCUUCCUUUUUUUUCCCUUAAUAUUACCACGGUCUUAAUCUUUCUCUUUCUCUCUUGUUUUUCUUAAUUUUCAUGCAUUCGUUCAACCUUAAUUCCUUUUCCUCCUUCUUCUCUUUCUCUACGCCUCAUUACGUACAUUCUUUCUCUUCCCCUAAUAUCGCUUCUUCCUUUCCUUCCUUCAUUCAUUCAUUCAUUCGUUUCCUUCCCCUUCCUUCUUUCCUUCCUUCAUUUGUUUAGCUCCUUGUUUAUUCCUUUCCUUUUUUCUUCUUUCUUACCCUUCCAUUCCCUUUCUCUUCCUCUUCUUAACUCAUCCGUCCUUCCUUCCUUCCUUCCUUUUCUUUCGUUUUCUUAAGCCUUACUAUCCUCUUUGCCUGUUAUACGUUUUCUUCCUUUUUCUUUGUUUCUCCUUCUCUUUCUCUACGACUCAAUACGUACGUUCCUUCUUUUCCCAUAAUAUCUCUUCUUCCUUCUUUCUUUCCUUCCCUCCUAUUCGUUUUCUUUCUUUCUCUUUCUUUGUUUCUCUUUCACUUGACUCUUUCCUUUUCCUCCCUUCUUACUCGUUUAUCCAUCUAUCCUUCCUUUCCCUUCUUCCCUUUCCCUCAGUCUACGUCCAUUCUCUUUCCCGUUAUUCCUCUUCCUUCCUUUCUCUUCCUUUUAUGUCUCGUUCGCUCCUUUCCUCUCUUCCACCCUCUCCAACGCUCUCCCCUUCUCUCCGUAUCUGUAUCUAAACAUUCCUUCCUCCUUUCCUUCCUUCCUUCCCUCUCCCCCUCCUUCCUUUCUCCUUGCAUACUUGAUUUCCCUCCUCCAUUCCUUUCUUCCCCUCCUCCCCCUACCUUCCUUCCUCCCUCCUUGCAUUCUUCGUUCUCUCCUUCAUACCUUUCUUUCCUUUCCCAUUUCCUCUCAUUCUCCAUUCUUUUCUUUCUCUCCCUCGAAAUCUCUACUCGUUUUUAUUCCUCUCUCUCUCUCUCUCUCUCUCUCUCUCUCUCUCUCUCUCUCUCUCUCUCUCUCUCUCGUCCGACUUUUUUCCCACAACCUCAACCCCGUUUUCUCUCGCUGUGUUAUUUUCCUUUUCUCACUCUCAUCGCUCACUUUCCAAGCGUUCGCGUGUGAAAACUCUCUCUCUCUCUCUCUCUCUCUCUCUCUCUCUCUCUCUCACACACACACACACAACAAAGGAAUACAGCAAAGUAGGUUAUGCCAAAAAAAUAUGUUACGUUUUUUUGUUUACGCUGAAUAAGUAGCACACACACACACACACACACACACACACACACACACUUUGCUUUUCAAUCACAUUGUUUCCAUUACAUAUACUGCCGUUUACGGUUUACCCAAGAUUUGAACGCCUUUUCCAACUUUCCCCUUUCAAUGCCCCAAGUUAUGUACGCCUUUUUCAACCCAGUUUUCCCCUUUCAGUAACCUAAGAUUUGAACGCGAUUUUGAACCCGCCUUUACCGUCCUUUUGAUAAACAUACGCUAUAGCCCAAAAUUUGAACGCUAUUUUGAACCCAUAUUUCACCUUACUUUCGAUAAACUCACACACAAGAACCCAAGAUUUGAAUGCAAGUUUGAACCCACCUUUACCGUCCUUUUGAUAAACAUAUACGCUAUAGCCCAAAAUUUGAACGCUAUUUUGAACCCAUAUUUCACCUUACUUUCGAUAAACUCACACACAAGAACCCAAGAUUUGAAUGCAAGUUUGAACCCGGCUUUCAAACACGCCUUCCCUAUAGUUUCCUCUUCAACCAGCAAACUACCUCCUCCUCUUCCUCUCCUUCACCAUUCCCCUUUCUUCUGAUAAACACACACACACACACACGCUCCCUGCUCCCCUUUCCUGUCUACGUUCCACCCCCACGCCGUUCGUCCAUUGAAUAUAGCACACCUGUGUCUAACAUGCACACCCCUUAACGACUAGCUGAGCGCGGUCACUGAGCUCUGGCAAGUGAAAUGAUAGUGAGGUUGGUGUUCUUAAACGCUUCCGCCUCUCACAUAUCUAUUUCCAAAGGCUGUGAAGAUCAGUCGUGUUAUAAUGAGUGUUUUGAACCGACCCUCACAUCAAGUAUUUCCAAAGGUCGUGAAGGAGAUCAGUCGUGUUAUAAUGAGUGUUUUUAAUCGCCCCACACAUCAAGUAUUUCCAAAGGUCGUGAAGGAGAUCAGUCGGGUUAUAAUGAGUGUUUUGAACCGCCCCUCACAUCAAGUAUUUCCAAAGGUCGUGAAGGAGAUCAGUCGUGUUAUAAUGAGUGUUUUUAAUCGCCCCACACAUCAAGUAUUUCCAAAGGUCGUGAAGGAGAUCAGUCGUGUUAUAAUGAGUGUUUUUAAUCGCCCCACACAUCAAGUAUUUCCAAAGGUCGUGAAGGAGAUCAGUCGUGUUAUAAUGAGUGUUUUUAACCGACCCUCACAUCAAGUAUUUCCAAAGGUCGUGAAGGAGAUCAGUCGUGUUAUAAUGAGUGUGUUUUACGGUUCGUGGUAUACAGAGGAAGCGUCAAACUACCACCAGGGUCUUAAAACUACCCCUGGAAAUGACCAAUACUCUUUUUUUAUGUUCUAAUGUUAAACUCGAAUAUAGUUUUGUCGUAUCCCUUCACGUUGUAAUAUACGGGAAAGUUGUUUUAUAGUUGUUUUUAUUUACUAACUUAUUUAUCUAUUGACUUCACUUUCCGAGGCCAUUUUAUAUAUAUACUUUCUUAACUUUUUUUUUGGGGGGGGUGUCUUUUCUUUCGCUUUUCUUCCUGACUUGCAAAACUAAUGUCUGCUUUUCUUUCUCGUUUUCUUUUUUUCUUUCAUUCUUUAACGUAAUCAAUUAUGUUAUCUCGUGAGGAAAUACCGCUCACUUUCUCUCUCUCUCUCUCUC